GGUGGGUUGACCACAUACCAAGGCAGGCCCCACUUCCCAAAAUAGCGAGGCUCAGUGGGGGAGAGGCGAAAAGAAAACAGAAACAAUCUCAGUGUGGAGUGGGAAAGGAUUCAAUCGGGAGGCAGGUGAUCAGCACAUUGGACAUUAUCUUGUGGACUAACUGUUCAGAUAUGGCUGUAGGAAGGGAAGCCCUGAGACAGUCUGCUGUGCCCUGCCCCAUUGGAAGCUUUGCUAUGCCCUCUGAGCACUUCCUUGUAAGUUCGGCCAGAGUUAAUGUUAAAGCAAAAGCACACAGACAUGAAAACAGACAUGAUUUCUUCCAAACCCAAAGAGAAUGAAUGCAUCAGAAGGUGUCUACAGGUAUUUGCUUUAGACUUUUGGCUUGAGAUCUUUGCUAAAUUGAGGAUAUUUCCUUUGUUGGUCUAGGAUGCUGGGAGACUUAAAAUAAUUUAGUCAUAAACGUUUGUGUUUGUCGUCUACUGUUGACUUUGGACAAUCAUAUAAAUUGCACGUUACGUUAUUAUCUACUACUCUUUCAUUAUUAUUACUGCAGCAAUGAAGAUCAAUUCUUGGCCUUGUAUAUACUAAGGAAACUACCUCUGAACUCUGCCUCCAGCUUAACCUUUUAAUUCAUCAAUGAAUGGGAGAAAAACAUGGCUUCUUUUCCUGUGUUUGCUUACCUUUGCAGUCCUCAUCAGACACAACUAUUGUCAACUAUAACCAUAUAUAUAUAAUAUAUAUAUAUUAUAUAUAUAUUCUAGUAUAUAUAUUUUUUUUCAAGUCUAGGUUUCCUUGUGUAGCCCUGGCUGUCCUAGAACUCACUUCCUGGCUACAAUAUUGUAUUUUAUGCAUGUGUGUGGGUCCAAGGGUGUAUAUUUCCAUAUGUCUGUAGGAAGUCAAGAAAAGGAGUUGAAUUCCCUGGGAGUGGAGUUAUAAGCAGUUGUGAGCUGUCUGAUGUGGAUGUUGGGAAGCAAAUUUGGGCCCUCUGGAAGAUGUAAGGAGUGUUCUUAGCCACUGAGCCAUCUCUCCAGCCUCCGUUGCAUUGUUCUUUCAUACCCACUUAUUUUGAAAUAUAGUGUUAUUACUUACAAUGCUGAGGACUGAAACCAGUGUGUGUGUGUGUGCGUGUGUGUGUGUGUGUGUGUGUGUGUGUGUUGGCACCCUCUUGCUAAGCUGCACUCAGCCCUUUCAUUGUCUUGACUAAUACUAUAUAUAAGUUACUGGAAACUCUGCUCUCUCUUUUUUUUUUAAGAUUUAUUUAUUUAUUAUCUAUAAGUACACUGUAGCUGUCUUCAGACACACCAGAAGAGGGCAUCAGAUCUCAUUACAGAUGGUUGUGAGCCACCAUGUGGUUGCUGGGAUUUGAACUCAGGACCUUUGGAAGAGCAGGCAGUGCUCUUAACCACUGAGCCAUCUCUCCAGCCCCCUCUGCUCUCUUUUUAAUACUGCCUUUGUCUGAUUUUAAAAUCAUAAACAAUUUUUUUCAAAAUGAAAAUUAUGUAUUUUAUGUGUGUGUAUAGUGUGUGUAUGUGUGUGCAUGUGUAUAUGUAUAUAGUGUGUGUGUGUGUAUGUGUGUGCAUGGCUGUACUAAAUCAUGCAGUGGGAUUGAACUCAUGGCUUUGUGUAUGUUAGGCAAGCAUUUACUACUAAGUAGGUAACAUUCCCAGCCAUGUGGUCACAUAGGUUUGAAGAGAGAAUAAAUAUAAUUCAAGGGGUUAAUAAAGUAAUCUCUUUCAAGAAAUAGUGCUGAGACAAGUGAAUAUCCACAUGGAAAGGAAUGGAAUUUGACCCUACGCCACAUUAUACAAAAAAUUAACUCAAAGCAGGAAAUGGCCCUAAAAGUAAGCAUUGAAAACCAUAUAACUCUUCAAAGAAAAAAGAGAAAUAUAUCUUUGUGGCUUUGGGUUAAGCAAGAGCUUCUUGGCUAGGGCACCACAGUCGUAAGUGAUCAAAGACUGAUAAAUUGGACUUGGUCAAAAUUUAAAACUUCUGCUGGGUGUGGCGGCGCUCACUAUAACCCCAGCACUUGGGAAGGGGAAGCAGGAGGGCCGGGGGCUUAAAGGCAGUCAUAGCUAUACACGGGGAGAGGUCAGCUGGAGCCACAUGAGCUCUGUGUCAAAAUAAAUAAACGGGGGCUGGAGAGAUGGAUUCGGGGCUACAGCAUUCUCUGCUCUUCCACGGCACCUGGAUUGGAUUCCCAGCACCCACAUCAAGACUCCCUACCACCUGUGACUCUAGUUCUGGGGUUGGGGUCUGAUCCCCUCUUCUGUCUUCCAUGGGCACCAGGUAUACAGACACACAUGCAGGCAAAUCACCAUAUGUAUUAAGUAAAUAGAAUAAUAAAUAAAUAGCUGGACACAUGCAUCAAUGGGGCUGAAGGAGUGGCUUAACAGUUAAGGGCGUGAAUGUGAUGCUCUUCCAGAGGACUUGAGUUUGGUCCCCACGACAGGCAGCUCACCGAGAGUAACUGCAGCUGUAGGGAAUCCAAUGCCCUCUUCUGGCCUAUGAUACCUAGAACAUAUACAUAUACAUAUGCACAUACAUGCAUACACACAUGCAUACAUACAUGCAUACAUAGACACAUAAGUAAAGAUAAAAUAAUUCCUUAAAAUUAUUUAGCUAAUCAAUUAAAGGAAACCGUUUGCACUUCAAAUGAGACUAUCCUGAAACGUGAUGGCCAAAAGUUUGGGCAAAUGUAUUAUUAAUAAACCGUACAUUUCUAGGAAACUCUACAACUCGGUAGUCCAAUGACAACCCAAUAAGAAACGCACAAAGGGUCGGAGGAGGCAUUUUCCCCAAUGGCCACCAGACAUACACAGAAGCUGUGAUUAACUUAUGAGAAGUACAAAUACAAACCACAAUAACACGCCACCCCGCACCUCCCGGGAUGGCUGGGAUGGAACGAGGGUGCAGAGAACUUCAAGACGCCAUGUACACAAAUUGUGUGAGCCAAGACGAUGAAGUCACUUGGCAGUGUCUAAAAAGGUGGAUAUGGGGUUACCUCAUGACUCAGAGCCCGGACACGCCUGGAACACACUGUGGAACCGAGGCCGACCUGGACGUCAAAAUCCUCCUGCCUCUGCGUCUGGAGUGCUCGAAUUAUAUUCAUUGUACUCAUAGGAGUACAAUCAAGGAAAUUAAAACCCACCUUCACACACAGACGUGUACACUACCAUUCAGAGCACCAUUGCGUGUAGCAGCCCAAGGGAGGAAUUGCUCAGAUAACGCCCAGCGGAAGAGAAAGCAAAACACGGCACGCCCACCUGCUGAAACAUCACUGGGCGUUAUGAGAAGGAAUGGGUUACUCACAAGAGCCACAACAUGGAUGAGAUUUGAUAGUGAAGCCUGGGCUGCUGGGGCUAGAAGUAUCAGGACGAGGUUGGGAAGGGAUCUGGAAAGUGCCUGCCUCGGGUUUUUGAGGUAGUGAAAACGUUCUAAAAGCUGACUACGGUAAUUAUGGCACAACUCUGAGAAUACUAAAGCGGUUGGAACGGGGAUACACUCCGAUGGGUGAACUUUAUGGUAUGAGAAUUUAUGUCCCAUAAACCCUGUAGGAAAUGGAGCUUGGAGUCUACCCCUCACAUCAGCAGGUAGGUUACAGAGCUGGACCAGAGGUGGAGAGCAUUCUUCUUGGUCAGCGCUUUUACCAGAUGAUCUUUCUUCCCAGCCAUGGCCAUUUCUAUUUUUGCUGUAGUGGGGGGAAGAGGGCCUAAUCUGAGCCAGGCUCCAAGUUUAUCCUAGGCCUAUGUGUGCAACAGCUUCGCAUGCACAUCCUAGGCAAUGUGUGCUCUCUCCAGGUGAGAGUCCUGUUUGCCACAUUGCACCUGUCCUUUGGGUCUUUGGUAUCAGUACUUGGCUUUGAUUUCUUGCUUGGCCCAUCUUGGAAUGGAUGGGACAACGUCCCCAACUACCACGGAUGGCCCCGUAUCACCUAUGGGCGGGUCUGUACUCCUUAGAGCAUCAUCUUUUGCCUCUUAAAAUAUCCUCGGACUUCAGGUCUUUCAUCUCAGAUUUGUAAGAGCACCACACCAGGCCUCCUUAUUCUGUAUCUGAGUGUUAAUUAAUUAAUUAAUUUUUUAAAAAGAUUUAUUUAUUCUAUAUAAGUACACGUUGCUGUCUUUAGACACACCAGAAGAGGGCAUCAGAUCCCAUUACAGAUGGUUGUGAGCCACCAUGUGGGUGCUGGGAAUUGAACUCAGGACCUCUGGAAGAGCAGUCAGAACUCUUAACCUCUGAGCCAUCUCUCCAGCCCGAGUGUUAAUUUAUAAUCCUUGUGUUUUCAGCACUCCAAUGUUUUUGGCUUUGAGAGUGUUUGCUCUGUGCUUGACUGUAGGUAGAGUUUCCUGCAUUCAGCCCAUAGGUGGAUCUAUUUGGCCUUGUGGUCAGUUCUAUCCAAACCUUCUGAUUCGUUCAUAUUUGCUGAGCCGGCCUUCCUUUCUGUGGUUUGCUCCCGCCUUCUGCUGCACAGGUCACGCUUUCUUUGGCUGGACUGGAAGUAAUGCGGUUGGCUUUCCAGUUGGUUCUUUUUUUUUUUUUUUUUUUUUUUUGUCUUUUUUUUCGGGGCUGGGGACCGAACCCAGGGCCUUGCGGUUGCUAGGCAAGCGCCCUACCGCUGAGCCAAACCCCCAACCCCUCCAGUUGGUUCUUUUGUCUUAGGACAUAUUCUCCUGGGUAUGUAUGUCCUGAUUGUCCGUAAGCGUAUGAGGGUGGUGCUCUGUCCUGAGACCAUCAGCUCCUUACCGUUCCUCCAUCCUCUCUGAUGAUAUCCAUGCUCAUCAGAGUUGAAAUUCUAGAUUGUUUUUCCUAAAUGGUCAAUGUCAGCAAAAUGCUUAGCCCCCGUACUUUACUGACCUGUAUAGGAAGUUUCUGGGGACCUUUUUCUUACUUUUAGGACGUUUAGCCCCAAAGUAUAUUUGGGAUUAGUUGACAAGUCUGAGAUAGCUGUGAGAGUGCUUGCCUUAUGUCUUUGAUUUUGCUCACUUGAGCGUUCUCCCUUUGCCCCCCUCCCCAAUCUCUCUCUCAAUUUAUUUUUUCAAAAGUUAAGGGCAUUUGUCUGGAAAUAGGACCCUAGGCGCGGGUACAUUUCCUCUCGUUGUUUAAGAGUCCUGCGCUGCUAUCAUGUGUCCAGAGGUCAUGUUUCCACACGAGAGGGCAGCCUGACCCUUUCUCUCCUGUGGCGAGUCACCCUUCAUCCUGAAGGCCUUAUAGCAUUUCCUAUGUAUGGGGUAAGCUGGAUUUCACUGCCAUCCGUGCGCUUUCCUAGCCUUCCUUCCUCCCUGUUUUUAUUUUGAUUUUCAAGUCUCCCAACCUUUCCUCUUUUGAGGAGGGGGCAAUAAUUCUCCACUUUCUCCCCUUGCCAAUCCUGCUCACCCUCUCCUUCUACGACCUCUGUGCCCAGAUUCUGGCACCCCUGAUCUCAUUUCUUUCUCUCUCUCUCUUUUCCUCCUCGCCCAUUGUCUUCUGGGAAAACCCCUCAACCUAAUCUUGCAGCUCAAUCACCUUUGGCUGUUCCUUCUGUUUGUGUCGGAUGCUUAUUGUUUCAACUGUUUAAGAACACUGUGGCUACAAUUCGAACUGCAACAAUAUUACAAAAUGUGUCAAAAGAAUACAUGCCUAGAUGUAGAUAAGUAGAUUUCUCAAUGUUAAAUUAAUUCGACAUUUUAAAAGCAUGGGGGUCAGAAAUUCAGAAAAACAAGAUGUCAUGAAAUAUAAGUGUGUGUGUGUGUGUGUGUGUGUGUGUGUGUGUGUGUGUAAUACACAAACCUCGAACACCAUGUAUUUUAGACACAUCUCCAGUCCUUUCCAAAGCCAUCUUCUCAGUGACAAAGACUUUUCUGGAAGCCUUUGGAAUAGUGAUGGUGGAUUGUUACUGUGGUUCAGGCACCUCGGGAAGCUCCAGGGGUUGGGGGUGACUUCCCAGCAGAUGGUCAAACCCUCCCUUGGUGCUGGCAGAAAUGAGAGUGACAAGGGUGUCACCGAGCUUGAGCACAAGAAUUGGGGAAUAAGUGGACAGGCCAGGACGUGAGGCUUCAGACAAGGGCUUGCAGCUCAAAUGUUCGUCAGACAGUGCAGGGGGGAAGGAAAAUGAGCACACAUCAGAGAAAGACUCCGGGUAAACAGGGCAACUUUUCCUCAUUACGUAACCGUUGUAGAAUUAAAGCAUGAGAAACCAGACUCUGGGUGAUGCAUGGCAAGUAUAAUGACAUUCAGCAGACCCUGGCUGUGCUCAGGGCACAGCUCUUACUUUUCACAGCCAUUUGUUUGCUGCUUCUUCCCCCAGUGCUGUUACCACCACGUGGAGCCGCUGAUCUGUUAGAGAACUGAACGUGUGAAAAUUCCGAGACUUUCUUUCCCAGGGUUUCCUGGGUAACUCUGAGGACUGAGAGGAAUGGGUGAAGUUACCUGCUUCCCUCCAUCUUGAAGGCAGUUCCACUGGCACAGAAGAGCAGGUGUCCUUCCCUUGGGACAGUCCGGGCCUGUUCCCUUUGUCUCCAUUUUCUGUUUAUGGCUGUGUAUGUGUAAGAGCCCAGGAGUACAUAGCAUGAUCAGGUACACCAAUCUUCACCCAACCCCUCUGCAUUGGCGAGAGAGCUUCCAUAGUUUGAAGAAAGGAUCCUGCCAGGCCACAGUGGGCAUGGCAGAACUCCAGGGAGCCAGUGCUGACAGCUGGAAGGACCCUCCUUUUGUUGACUGGGAUCACCAGUCUUUAUACUCUUAUACCGAGCCCACCUGACAACACUACUAUUGUUUUUCUCUAUAAUGGAUGGCCACAUAGAAGUAAUUCGUUUAGAAGCUGAACUAUUUUAGGGAGGAUCCCUCACAAAAAAAGUUUUUCAACAAGUCUUAGACAAUGUGAGUUUAUAGGUAGACAGAGGCCAUGGAAAAGAGUUUGGGAAUAGCAGAAAAAACCAGAAAAAAAAAUGUGACAUUUUCUUCAAAGUCAUGGAAUUUCUAAGCCUGGGUAUAGAUCGCAUCUGUGUGAUACGAGGUGAAUCAUUUGACUCCUUCAGACUCAAGUUCCCCCGUUUGCAACAUGACAGUGACUUCUAUGGCUGGGUGUGACCGGGGAAGACCCACACAGCCUUCAAUUGUGCCUGGAGGCAGACACUGCUCAUGAAACAGCUUGGGUGAGGUAAGAAAGUCCCCAGCUUUUCUCCCUCCGUGGUCCUCACUCCAGAGUGACCGAGGUGUUAGUCUGUUGGUGCCUGUGUUUACCGUUUGUAACUUUCUCUUCAGUCAGACCUGAAGAGAAGCAACUUGGAGAAGGAAGGAUUUACUCUGGCUCACGCUUUGUUAGAUUCGAUGCAACAGGAUGGGAGUAGUUCCUGGCUGUGGCUUGGGAAUGCCACAGGAAUGCCACAGAAAGUCAGGAGGGCUGCUCACAUCUUGGCUGUGAACAGAAAAGAGGGACACGGAAGAAAACAAGGUCAGGCUGUGAGCCUCAAGGCCCACCUCCCAGUAAUCCACUUCCUCCAGCAUGACUUAAUCACCUCCCAGUUACAACUUCCCCAGUACAGCGCCACCAUCUGGGGACCAAGAGUUCAAACAUAUGAGUGGGGAUGGGGGUGGAUUUCACAUCCAAACAAUAACGUGACUGCUGUCCUCAUUGUAAAUGUAAAAACGAUGCUGUCGGAUUAUUUCACAAAUAUUAGAACAACUUGAUGUUGAUACCCGAUUUGAAAGAAGAGUGCCGGACUGAACCAUUGCGGUUAUUCAGCUGAUUGGUUAAACUUCUGUUAUCUGGGCUUUUGCAAGCCUCCACUUCCACAACUGUGAAGUGGACAUUUUUCACCUUCACGCCCAGAUAGAUUCCUGUGGGGGGAGAGACUGAGAUCAUUUAUGGGCAGGUUUCUCAGUCUGCCUUUCAAAGCUGUUGGGCAUCAGGCCCCCACUGGCCUUUCCAGAGCUAGCCAAGUACUUUCCCAAUUUUCGAGUGGUUUAAAACGUAACAAGCCAAAGAAAUGUUAGCUGGAAUGAUAGGUCAAUUUAACUGACCUCAGAUGGUUGCAGAAACAAUUCGCUGAUUCAUUGAAUCUGCCGAGCACAGGACUUUUAGUAUUUUUCUGUUAAAGGAGAUCCCUUUACUAUUUUAUCGUUUAACUGGAGAAUAUCUGUUUAUAGACAGCUUGUUUGUUCCGAAUUGUCCCUUUGUCUCCCCCUCGCUCUGCAGGCUGCUUUUUUAGGGGAAGUGCCCGUGUGCAGGCACCAUUUCUUAAGUGUUUUUGGAGGUUUUUUUUUUUUUUUUGACUUGAGGGUAUUUAUGGACAGGGACUCAGGUUUCAGGGGGGAGGGGUGAAAGGAGAAGAGCUUCGGCCAAUUAGAAGGCGCUCUGGCUUAGCUCAUUUGCAUCUCACAGCCCACUCUGCAGCGGCGCAGCGACUCCCGGAGAAUUGUCGUUAGGGCGACGUCGCAGCUUAGCUAUGGUUUCCCCGCUGCCAGGGUCCUGCCAGGGUCGUUCGAUGAUCGAUGUUUCUGGAGUGCAUGAGGCGCUCAGGCCCGCAGAGCUGUCUGGCGAUGGUAAAGUCGCGCCCAUCAUGUGAUCACACCUGAAAAAGACAGAAUGGCAAUGAGCCUUUUGCUCCCUGGUAUCAUUGCGCUCAAAAACACUGAUUGAUAGCUUGCUAUUUCUCUUUGGUGCAGUGUGACAUCAGGGCCUACAACAGGGCAAGCACAUAUGAAAAGGCUUUUAAUACAAAAGCCCAUCCCCCCUUUUUUGCUUUUUUUUUUUUUUUGGUUCUAAAAUUGGGAAGUGUGUAACUAGGGCCAAAACUCAAACCAAAACAAAAAGGUAUUAAAUAAACC